GACGAACGCUGGCGGCGUGCUUAACACAUGCAAGUCGAACGGAAAGGCCUGCUUUCCCUUGUGGAUUGCGGGUACUCGAGUGGCGAACGGGUGAGUAACACGUGAGUGAUCUGCCCCCAACUUGGGUAUAAGCCUGGGAAACUGGGUCUAAUUCCCGAUAGGACUGCAGGGUGGUGCCUGUGGUGGAAAACGAUUUUCUAGUGGUUGGGGAUGAGCUCGCGGCCUAUCAGCUUGGUGGUGGGGUAAUGGCCUAACAAGGCGGGGACGGGGAGCCGGCCUGGGAGGGUGGACGGGGGCAUUGGGACGGGGGUACGGCCCAGACGGGGGCGGGAGGCGGGAGUGGGGGGGAGUGGACAGUGGGCGGAAGCCUGAGGCAGCGAGGCGGCGUGGGGGAUGGCGGCCUUGGGGUGGUAAACUCCUUUCGAAGGCGAGGAAGCCACCUGGUUGGAAGGGUGGUGACGGUAGUGGUAGAAGAAGCACCGGCUAACUACGUG
rnacentral:rRNA from 1 species